rnacentral:rRNA from 2 species
GGUGGUUUCUUAAGUCUGAUGUGAAAGCCCACGGCUCAACCGGGGAGGGUCAUUGGAAACUGGGAAACUUGAGUGCCGAAGAGGAAAGUGGAAUUCCACGUGUAGCGGUGAAAUGCGUAAAGAUGUGGAGGAACACCAGUGGCGAAGGCGACUCUUUGGUCUGUAACUGACACUGAGGCGCGAAAGCGGGGGGGGCAAACAGGAUUAUAUACCCUGGUAGUCCACGCCGUAAACGAUGAUUGCUAAGUGUUAGAGGGUUUCCCCCCUUUACUGCUGCAUCAAACGCAUUAACCACUCCGCCCGGGGAGUACGGCCCCAAGGCUGAAACUCAAAGGAAUUGACGGGGGCCCC